CGCGUGAUGACAUACAAAGUUGUUUGCACAUUUUCCGACACACCGUGAGCGAGUUACAAUAUUACAAGAACACCAUCUGAAU
rnacentral:snoRNA from 21 species